GACGAACGCUGGCGGCGUGCUUAACACAUGCAAGUCGAACGAGAAUCUACUGAAAGAGUUUUCGGACAAUGGAUGUAGAGGAAAGUGGCGGACGGGUGAGUAACGCGUGAGGAACCUGCCUUGAAGAGGGGGACAACAGUUGGAAACGACUGCUAAUACCGCAUGAAGCAUAGGGGUCGCAUGAUUCUUAUGCCAAAGAUUUAUCGCUUCAAGAUGGCCUCGCGUCUGAUUAGCUAGUUGGCGGGGUAACGGCCCACCAAGGCGACGAUCAGUAGCCGGACUGAGAGGUUGAACGGCCACAUUGGGACUGAGAUACGGCCCAGACUCCUACGGGAGGCAGCAGUGGGGAAUAUUGGGCAAUGGGCGCAAGCCUGACCCAGCAACGCCGCGUGAAGGAAGAAGGCUUUCGGGUUGUAAACUCUUUUAAGAGGGUAAGAGCAGAAGACGGUACCUCUAGAAUAAGCCACGGCUAACUACGUAG
rnacentral:rRNA from 1 species